GCGGUGAAAUGCGUAGAUAUGUCACAGAACACCGAUUGCGAAGGCAGCUCACUAAAGUGUGAUUGACACUGAGGCACGAAAGCGUGGGGAUCAAACAGGAUUAGAUACCCUGGUAGUCCACGCCCUAAACGAUGAAUACUCGAUGUUGGCGAUAUACGGUCAGCGUCUAAGCGAAAGCGUUAAGUAUUCCACCUGGGGAGUACGCCCGCAAGGGUGAAACUCAAAUGAAUUGACGG
rnacentral:rRNA from 1 species